UGGGUUUGCUCAGAGCAGAGUGCCUAAGAAAUGGCUCCUCUGUUUACACCAUACCCAACAAAAACCUGGGUUCAUUGAUAAGGGGCACAAACUUGCCACUUUCCAAUGAAGAAGUACCCUACAUGU